rnacentral:rRNA from 1 species
ACAGAGGUGGCAAGCGUUGUUCGGAAUUACUGGGCGUAAAGGGUGCGUAGGCGGUUGUUUAAGUCUGCCGUGAAAUCCCCGGGCUCAACCUGGGAAUGGCGGUGGAUACUGGGCAGCUAGAGUGUGUCAGAGGAUGGUGGAAUUCCCGGUGUAGCGGUGAAAUGCGUAGAGAUCGGGAGGAACAUCAGUGGCGAAGGCGGCCAUCUGGGACAACACUGACGCUGAAGCACGAAAGCGUGGGGAGCAAACAGGA